rnacentral:rRNA from 1 species
UACGUAGGGUGCGAGCGUUACUCGGAAUUACUGGGCGUAAAGCGUGCGCAGGCGGUCGUGCAAGACAGAUGUGAAAUCCCCGGGCUUAACCUGGGAACUGCAUUUGUGACUGCACGGCUGGAGUGCGGCAGAGGGGGAUGGAAUUCCGCGUGUAGCAGUGAAAUGCGUAGAUAUGCGGAGGAACACCGAUGGCGAAGGCAAUCCCCUGGGCCUGCACUGACGCUCAUGCACGAAAGCGUGGGGAGCAAACAGG